UCGACACAAGAAUGGUACAACUCGUGCGGCUCGCCUUCUUAUAAGGGUUGUCCCCACUACCGUACCUUGCACGUGUGUCGUAAACAAGUGCAGGUGUUGUUUGUUUGCUAGCCGCACGUGUUGUUUACAGUUAACAUAAUAUUUAGAUUUUCAAUAUUUCGCUGUCGCGCUAUCACGGCCAUACUGAUACGCAGCUCGUGCUCUGAGCUUGCGUUUAUUCUGAAACAAGGGGUAUCUUUUAGUUCACUGUAGUAGCAUAUUCAAUUUGUAACUAAGUAUUUGUGCUGUUAAGUCAGUUGUUGUAAGUCUAUAUCGGUGCAUCGACACGAG